UAUUCAGCACGUCCACGAUAUGGAGGGCGAACUGCCUGAGCAGAUUAUCGAUCCGAAGUUCUGUGGCAUGGAUACCUCGUCUGUCCACAAAUGUUUAUCCAUGCUUAUCCUCGCAUCUCACCCAAUCUGCAGCACGUCCCCGGAUAGAAGAGAAACUCUCGCUAGAGUUCUUGAUCUGGACUGCUACGGGAUAGACAUCACAUCUAGCCCGUAAGGUUGAUGUCGUCCUAGCAGGUUGCGAUUCAAUAAUGGAAAAGGCCUACUUAGAUGUAAUGACAGAGAGAAGCAACAACGAGUUUGACAAUGAGCAGCUUGUGAACAAGUAGAAGAACACAAUAUUUCGCAAUAAAAUUAGGAUGUCAACGA